rnacentral:rRNA from 1 species
UACAGAAACAGCAAGCGUUAUUCAUCGUAACUGGGUAUAAAGCGUGUGUAGGCUGUUUUUUUUAACUUGACAAAGUAAAACUACAAUAGCUAAGUAGGAUGCGGGAAGAAAAAAACUAGAGUUUAGGUAGGGGAACAAGGAAUUUCUAGAGUAGUAGCUAACGCUAUCUUAAUAUUAGGAAGAAUGCAGAGCGAAAGCAAGUAACCAUAUCUUUACUGACGCUGAGAUACUAAAGUAUGGGGAGCAAAUAGG